ACUUAACCUUGGUAAUGUCACGGUCGCGGUAACGCGACACAAACCGGAGAAGCUGCCGAGAACCCCGGGAAGAGUUUUCUUUUCUGCUUGAGGGACCGAGACCCUGGAAUCCCGUCGCGGGGCGAGAGGGUUAUGGAUUUAGCUGUCAAAGGCUAUCCCGAAGAGCGUCGCGUUUCUGCGCCGUCCGUCGGCGUUCUCGGCUGGGCCUUGAAAAUCCGGCGGGGGGGUUACGUUGUUGGACGUUCGCGCCUGUUCCUACCGAUAUCCGCAUUCAGGUCUCCCAAGGUGAACAGCCUCUAGUCGAUGGAUGAAUGGGGGUUAAGGGAAAUCGGCAAAUUGGAUCCGUAACUUCGGGAUAAGGAUUGGCUCUGUGGGUCGGGGCGGUCGGGCUGCGUUUAGCAAGCGAAGCCGUCGGCGGACGUGUCAGGCCUGGGUCGAAGCUCUUCCUCACGGGAGAGCUGAGGCUCGGUCCUCGGCCAGAUCGCUGCCGGUGGAGCGGCUCGGCAUGGGCUGCGCGCGUGUGCGGCGGGAAAGUCGUGUGCGCGUGCCAGAUCUCGGCCGCCCUCGACCGAACACCACAGAACUGGCACGAUCCAGGGGAAUUCCGACUGUCUAAUUAAAACAAAGCAUUGCGAUGGCCGCAAGUCGGAGCUGAACGCAAUGUGAUUUCUGCCCAGUGCUCUAUGUCAAAGUGAAGAAAUUCAACGAAGCGCGGGUAAACGGCGGGGGUAACUAUGACUCCUCUUAAGGUAGCCAAAUGCCUCGUCAUCUAAUUAGCGACGCUCACGAAUGGAUUAACGAGAUUCCCACUGUCCCUAUCUACUAUCUAGCGAACCCACUGCGGGGGGAACGGGCCUCGUUUUGUCAGCGGGGAAAGAAGGCCCUGUUGAGCUUGACUCUAGUUCGGCAUUGUGGGGUGACAUGAGAGGGAGUUCGGCAUUGUGGAGUGACAUGAGAGGUGUAGCAUAAGUGGGAGAUGUGGCCUUCGGGCUCAGCGGCGAUGAAAUACCCCUACUUUCAUGGUCGCUUAACUUACUCGGUGAAGCGGAGGGGGCGGUCGCCCGGGUGGGAUCUUUAACGGUCUCCGUCCGCGGCGUCUCGCUUAAAUUCUUGUGUUGAAGUGCGAGCCGCCCCGGCAGGGUUUGGCAGGCGGGCGAGGUUGUCGCGGCUUUUCGCCUGUCUCGUGCAGGCGGGAGGCGCGGCAUUUCGCCUGUCUCGUGCAGGCGGGAGGUCGUGGUCGGCCGAGCUUUCUUAGUCUGCUUUCCAUCUCCGGGAAAUUAUUCGGGGGUGCGAUCCGGGCUGAGGACAGGGCCGGGUGGGGGGUUUUACUGGGGCGGUACAUCUGUCAAACGAUAACGCAGGUGUCCUAAGGCUGGCUCAGGGAGGACGGAAACCUCCCGUAGAGCAAAAGGGCAAAUGCCGGCUUUAUCCCGAGUUUCAGUACGAAUACGGACCGCGAAAGCGCGGCCUAUCGAUCCUUUUGGCCAUUCUGGAGUUUGAAGCAAGAGGUGCAGAGAAGUUACCGCAGGGAUAACUGGCUUGUGGCGGCCAAGUUUCAUAGCGGACGUCGCUUUUUGAUCCUUCGAUGUCGGCUCUUCCUAUCAUUGCGAAGCAGUAUUCGCCAAGCGUAGGAUUGUUCACCCACCUACAGGGACGUGAGCUGGGUUUAGACCCGGUGAGACAGGUUAGUUUUACCCUACUGACGACCAUAGAAGAAAUGUUGUUGCUAUAGUAACACUGCGAAGUACGAGAGGAACCGCAGGUUCGGACAGUUGGUUGGCGCACUUGGUCGAGCGGCCAGUGGUCCGAGGCUACGCCCGGAUGAUUAUACCUGAAGGCCUCUGAAGGUAGAAUCGAUGC
rnacentral:rRNA from 1 species